GUUUGUAUAGUUUAAUGAAAACAUUACAUUUUCAUUGUAAAAUUAGAUGAUAUCUUACAAAUA
rnacentral:tRNA from 1 species